GACGAACGCUGGCGGCGUGCUUAACACAUGCAAGUCGAGCGGAAAGGCCCUUCGGGGUACUCGAGCGGCGAACGGGUGCGUAACACGUGAGUAAUCUGCCCUGCACUCUGGGAUAGCCUUGGGAAACUGAGAUUAAUACCGGCUAUGUUCAUUUCCCGCAUGGGAUGGUGGUGGAAAGUUUUUCGGUGCGGGAUGUGCUCGCGGCCUAUCAGCUUGUUGGCGGGGUAAUGGCCUACCAAGGCUUCGACGGGUAGCUGGCCUGAGAGGGUGACCGGCCAGACUGGGACUAAGAGACGGCCCAGACUCCUACGGGAGGCAGCAGUGGGGAAUAUUGGACAAUGGGCGGAAGCCUGAUCCAGCAACGCCGCGUGAGAGAUGACGGCCUUCGGGUUGUAAUCCUCUUGCAGCGCAGACGAGGCGCAAGUUACGGUAUGUGCAGAAGAAGGACCGGCCAACUACGUGCCAGCCGCCGCCGUAA
rnacentral:rRNA from 1 species